AACGAACGUUAGCGGCGCGCCUAACACAUGCAAGUCGCACGAGAAAGGGCUUCGGCCCCGGUAAAGUGGCGCACGGGUGAGUAACACGUGGGUAAUCUGCCCUCGAGCGGGGGAUAACAUUCCGAAAGGAGUGCUAAUACCGCAUAAGACCACGACCUCGAAAGAGGAUGGGGUCAAAGCUGGCCUCUAUACAUAAGCUAGCACUUGAGGAUGAGCCCGCGGCGCAUCAGGUAGUUGGUGAGGUAACGGCUCACCAAGCCGAAGACGCGUAGCUGGUCUGAGAGGAUGAUCAGCCACACUGGAACUGAGACACGGUCCAGACUCCUACGGGAGGCAGCAGUGGGGAAUCUUGCGCAAUGGGCGAAAGCCUGACGCAGCGACGCCGCGUGAGUGAUGAAGG
rnacentral:rRNA from 1 species